UGGCUCAGGACGAACGCUGGCGGCGUGCUUCAUACAUGCAAGUCGAACGAGAAGCUCACUUCGGUGAGUGGAAAAGUGGCGGACGGGUGAGUAACAUGUAGGGAAUCUACCCUUGGGAUGGGGACAACAGCUGGAAACGGCUGCUAAAACCCGAUAUGAGUAUUGUUGAGAUAUAAUACUUGAAAACUCCGGUGCCCAAGGAUGAGCCUGCACCUGAUUAGCUAGUUGGUGGUGUAAUGGACUACCAAGGCGACGAUCAGUAGCUGGUUUGAGAGGAUGAUCAGCCACAAGUGGGACUGAGACACCGGCCCAUACUCCGUACGGGAGGCAGCAGGUAAGGGUAAUUUUGCGCAAGUACGGGGGAAACCCUGAACCGCAGCAACGCCGCGUGGACGAAGAACGCCCGUUCGGGGUAGUAAAGUUCUGUCAGUGGGGACGAAUGAAUGACGGUACCCACAGAGGAAGCACCGGCUAACUCCGUGCCAGCCGCGGC
rnacentral:rRNA from 1 species